rnacentral:ncRNA from 1 species
UACCUGGUUGAUCCUGCCAGUAGUCAUAUGCUUGUCUCAAAGAUUAAGCCAUGCAAGUCUAAGUACGAGCUCUCGUACAGUGAAACUGCGAAUGGCUCAUUAAAUCAGUUAUGGUUCAUUUGAUCGUACAGUUUACUUGGAUAACUGUGGUAAUUCUAGAGCUAAUACAUGCGAGAAGCGCCGACCUCGCGGGAGGCGUGCAUUUAUCAGACCAAAAACCGGCCGCGUCUUCGGGCGCGUUCGCCUUGGUGACUCUGGAUAACUUUGCGGAUCGCACGGUCUAGCACCGGCGACGGAUCAUUCAAGUGUCUGCCCUAUCAACUUUCGUCGGUACGGUAUUUGCCUACCGAGGUUCUUACGGGUGACGGGGAAUCAGGGUUCGAUUCCGGAGAGGGAGCCUGAGAAACGGCUACCACAUCCAAGAAAGGCAGCAGGCGCGCAAAUUACC